AUGUCUAAGAAAAUAAACCGGAUGCAGUACCUUGGCAGGAUUUGGUGAACGCCCUUUAAAUAUAGAUAUAAUGCAAGUCUAAUAUUGUAAACAGUAUAAUGAUAGAUCAGCCUUGAAUACGUGUAACUUCCUCAUCAUGAUGUUACGACUAUUUCUGAUAUUUUCCCUAUGUAUAUGUAACUGGAUUUUGAUAAUGGGAGUUGCCGGUGAUGGAUUAUGGCGAAAACUUUUUUUCUCGUCUCCUGAAUUUGUAUUUUGGCUUAUAGAUCAAAAUAUUCAGGGAGGUGAUGGUGGUGAUGAUAAUGAUGCAGGAGACCCACUGUUAGAUGCAUAUUGCACAUAUUUAAAAGAACAGGGUUUGACUUCAAAUCUGUGUGUUUAAGGGCCGGACACUUAAAACAUACACAGACGGUGUUCUAUAUUAUGUUGAAUAAAAUAGUCAGCUUAGUUUUGAAUGUGAAUAAAAUUUAGGCCGAUUC